UAUAGAAUUUCCGACACCUUUGAUGUGA
rnacentral:sRNA from 1 species